UUUGUAAACAUAUAUAUCUCAAAAUACUGAACUAGGCGUUGUUUUACAUUUGUUUCUUGCAACAGAAAUGUAUUUAAUGAACUGGAAUUAUUUAUUUUGUGUGAUUUACCGCCAGAGCGACAUAUUAGUUGGUCAUGUUGCGAGUUUCCAGAUUUUCAUGGCGAAAGAAGACAUGUGCACAAUUAUGCCUUAAUUCGUGCAAAGCGGGAACCACACGAAGGUAGAACCACCGGCUUUAGAUGGCCUCCUUUAUGAAAACAUUCUACACCCAAAGCCAGGUUUCGAACCCACAACUGUUAUUACCUAACUACUAUUGACCACUGUGGCCGGUCUGUUAAAUUCGAAGCACUUUCCCUCACCUCUCUGUGUUCGAGCGCUCUUCUGUGACAAAGCAAAAUCAACAAAGCUGGUAUGCUAAAAGCCGCUGGUUAUACCUAGGUGUCUAAAACACUUGCUGGAUCAGUACCUGAAGUCAUCCGAUCAAAUUGAAUUCAUAAAAUCCCAAUUUAACUUAUAUUGUGUCUUUGUUGAACUGUAAAAUCAUAGUCCUCGGCUAGUUUAGUUUUGUCGUGCCAAGUUAUGGACAGUUAUCUAUGUGUAAUAACAAGUGCAGUCUUCGUUACUUUGAGCUACCCGUAACAUACAACCGUGACGACAAAGGGUUGUUUUAAUAUGAGACAGCAGCUAUGCAUUCUGUUAUUUAUUAUUUUGUUUAUGUGCCAUGUUUUCUAUUCUAUAUUCACACUUGAGACUCGAGACUAAGUCUGUCCUCUUCUCAAUUUUGUUUUGAUUUUCCACACAGCAUCGCUAACUGCUAGUUACUCGUUUUUCCUAUUUGUUAGAUGUUUGAUCCGUGCAAACUGUACAAACACAGAUUUGUCUGGUGUCUACAUUUUAUUUACAUUAGAGAGGUUUUAUUUCAGAAACAAUGUUGAAAAAAUGCUAGAUCUUUUGAAAUUAAAAUGAAUGUCUCUUU